GGAGAGAUGCGAGAGCGGUUGAAUCGGGCGGUCUCGAAAACCGUUGAACCCUUUAGGGUUCCGAGGGUUCGAAUCCCUCUCUCUCCG
rnacentral:tRNA from 1 species